UAAUAAGUGUCUUAUGGCACUUUUUUAAAUCCAUAUCCACCUUGUGUGCAAUGUCAGUCGAUCUUCUUCAUGGAGAUCGACCAAACAUCAACCCUUUAUUUUUUAACUCUUUGUCUGAAAAAAUAUUAUGAAUAAACAAUUCAAAAAUA
rnacentral:misc_RNA from 1 species